rnacentral:rRNA from 1 species
UACGUAGGGUGCGAGCGUUGUCCGGAAUUAUUGGGCGUAAAGAGCUCGUAGGCGGUCCGUCACGUCGGGCGUGAAAAUCCAGGGCUCAACCCUGGACCUGCGCCCGAUACGGGCGGACUGGAGUUCGGUAGGGGAGACUGGAACUCCUGGUGUAGCGGUGAAAUGCGCAGAUAUCAGGAGGAACACCGGUGGCGAAGGCGGAUCUCUGGGCCAUUACUGACGCUGAGGAGCGAAAGCGUGGGGAGCGAACAGG